rnacentral:lncRNA from 1 species
CACUGUCCUGUGGCCUUCAUUCCUUGGGGAAAACACCACAAUGGUCAUCACCUGAACAAAUGGAGUGGGGAGAUGUGGAAGUGAAAGAAAGGGAACGCUGAAGAAGACAGUAUCAGAGACCCAGUAGCAAUGAAACCUCAAUUGGCACAGAGGAUUUGGGAAGAAGGACCCAGAUUUGAGUAUUUUCAGCUCUAGGUGCUGAAGAUGUUCAUGACCAAAUAGACAUGGUAGUUGAGGGAAAGAGGGUUUUAGGGAGCCCUUCUCCUUGGAAUUCUAGGGAGAAGACAUCUUACUCUUAUUGGAUCAUGCACAGUGCCUGAAGCAUUCUGUUGCAUGUAGAAGUCAGUAAAUUGCAGAUGUAAGAUUCAAAACCAGACUUCACAUCUACCGACUUCAGUGACCCUGAAAUUUGUUCACAGAGAGCAUUUAACAUAACUGUCUUCAUCAUCUCCUUCUCUACAUUAAAAAUUAUGGAGGCCUUACAAACUGGUAGAAGAUGCAUAACAGAAGAGCUUAUGAAGUUAAAGAUGACAGCAUAGCAGCACUGUUCACAAAGACGUUAUUGGUGAUUCAAUCUUGAGUCAUGAAAAGUCAACCUUGAGCCACAAAAAGUCAACCUUGAGCCAAGCAGAUUGGAGAGUCAUACAUGCCAUUCCUGGGACCAUCAAAAAUGGCAGAGGUCACACAAAAAGGCAAAACUUUUAAGAGGUGUUUUAAACGUCGUAUGGGCCAAAGAGAAGCUGGAUUUCCUAUUGGAGUCACCUGUAACACACGUGUGACGAAAUUGGCCUGUGAGGACAAGGCAGUGAGCAGAGAGGACAGCAGUCCUUAUGAGAUCAAGCUCUAAGGUAUCCUAGACACAUUUGGAGAAUUCACCUGAGCUACAGGAUG